UCACCCCACCGUCCUCGCAGUGUGGCGGCAUGACCACGACAAAGAGGAAGGCCAAUUAGGAAGAGGACGGCAUCGCUGAUCGCUGCCAGCCCAGGUUGUGUCCUGCAGAGCAGACCUGCAUCACCAGCCGCCCCUUGUUUCUAUAUUUGGGAGAGACUUGCUGUUCAGUUUCCGUCCGCAGGACGAGCAGGACAAGCAGGACGAGCAGGACAAGCAGGACAAGCAGGACGAGCAGGGCGACUCUGAGCUCUCUGGCAUAGCGGGACCUUAGUCUGGGUCCUCACCGAAAACAAGGGGCAGCAGAGGAGAGGAAUACAGUCCCUCCUCUGAUCCCGCACCAUCCCUCUGAUGUUUCUGGACUGGUUCGUGCCCGUCUACCUGCUGGUGUCCGUGCUGGUGCUGGUCGGGUUCGGCGCCUGCAUCUACUUCCUGGAGCCGGGCCUCCAGGAUGCCCACAAGUGGAGCAACAAGUCCGUACAGCGCCCCCCUCUGACCACUGCCAAGAACUGCAAGGAGGAGGACAGCAAGGUGCUGAUAUGUUGAGUGGAAACGCGAAAAAAAGCAGCAGGAAGAGAGAGAGAGAGACUCAAUUCUCAUCUUUUCAGCGGUUGGAGUUGGAACAACAGAAUGGGAUUUAAUUCCUUUCUGUUUCCCUUUUAUGAGAAAGGGGGAUUACGAUACAAUAUGGUUGAAAACAAAAAGUCUAAAACCUGGCCUCAUAGGAUUGUAUAAUUAACAUUCAGUUAAUUCAAAUGUUUGGCCUCAGUAAGUCAUGAAGAAGUCUUAAAUAACAUAAGUUGAGUUUAGUCUACUAUGGAGUUUUUACGGAAAAACUAUGGAGUUUUUACGGAAAGCUAUGAAAUAGUACAUAAAGUUCAUCUUCUCUUCCAUAACAGUAUAUGCACUUUACACUAGAACUAACAUAUGUGACCGGCGGUCUGUGAACUUGAGAUUGAACUGAAAUGGACCUUUCGAGUCAGUGAUCAGUUAUGCCAAAAUUGUGUUGGUGCAAACCAUUGUGUGAGUGCCAAAUGUUUGUUUGUUUGUUUGUUGGUUUGUAGUUUGUUUGUUGGUAGAGCCUGAGCCAGACACGUGCCCGCCAGAUACUGUUUCUUUCUAAACUGUUUUAGAUCGACAGUAAAUGUUAUUUAAUCUCUGCAAUAAUUAUGUGUUUAGGGUAAAUUCAUCGCAAACCAUAUGUGAUACAGAGGUCACUUGUAACUGAUGAACAUCAGAGUUGUACCUUUAACUUUUGAGGAAAACCACAUGGUUUGUUGGUGUUAUGACCCGUUGUUUUUGAAAGCUGUCAAUCAUGUGCCAAAUACUGUAUCGAUCAUUUCCAUGUCUUGUAUGUUCAGAAACGAUGUUUCCACCUGCACACGCAUCAUUGUUUUCACACCCUGUUUACACUAAGAACUAAGCUAGCCUUGCCUGAAAACGGAUUCAGAAAUAAUAAAUACAUUAUUUUUAUCUCUA